rnacentral:rRNA from 1 species
UGAUAUAUGGGUUAGUGGCGGACGGGUGAGUAACGCGUGGGUAACCUGCCUUACACAGGGGGAUAACACUUAGAAAUAGGUGCUAAAACCGCAUAAGCGCACAGCUUCGCAUGAAGCGGUGUGAAAAACUCCGGUGGUGUAAGAUGGACCCGCGUCUGAUUAGCUUGUUGGCGGGGUAACGGCCCACCAAGGCGACGAUACAUAGGGGGACUGAGAGGUUAACCCCCCACAUUGGUACUGAGACACGGACCAAACUCCUACGGGAGGCAGCAG